GUGUACGCGAUAGCCGAAACAAGCAAAGUCUAGUUCUGAUGGCGUGACAGACGCACACGUGCUUCAAUUAUAACGUAUUUAGUUAUGGUUAUCAUUUUCAUGAAGUAAGUCUGAUUAUUCAAUAACCCAUCAUUGAAAGCGUCAAUUACAAUCGCUGUAGUAAAGAAAGAGGCUAGGUGGAUCGCACCACAAGGUCUCGAGGUCUAAACAUUUUCAAGAGCUUCAGAUUAUUUUCACGAAGUAACUCUGACUUUUCAAUAUUCCAGAAUUGAAAGCGUCAAUUACAAUCGUUACAGCAAAAUAAUAGCUAACCCUAUUGCUUUAUAUUUUCAAUAUUUCAGUAGCGAUCAAGACGUCGUCCUACCGGAACCAACGACCAGCAGCGACGUCAUGGAAUUUACGGGCGAUAAGACGGAUUCCUCGGAUCGUAAAUAUCGCUAAGAAGCGAUCGUUAUAGCUGGUUGUUGCAGAGAGCGAAAAAGAACGCGGGAGGAGGGAUGAAAGGGCGCUCGCGACGCGGUGGAGUAAUCGUGUAAAAUAAAAAGAGAGUUGCGUGGCGUCGGGAAAACGGUAAAAAAGACGGUGUAGUCGGGGAGAGGACACGGUGAGAAAUAAAAGCGAUAUUUUUAUAUCCACGGGUGUAAGCUCGUCGGUGGCGGACGCCACCGGGCCUCGGUCUCUAUUAAUAUCCACGGGCCGGGCUUCCUUUCGGCCUCCGCAGCAAUUCUCUUCGCACAGGCGGACCAACGAUCGGCCACCGGAAAGAGAGCCUCCCGAUCGGGGAAAAAAAAAUUCCGCCGUCCAGCUUCCGCGAAAUCCCAACUUGCGCGACGCUCGCAGAGGAAGGACUCCACCUGUUCUCCAAUUUCAACCCAGUUCUGCAGGACGGCUCGUUGCUGUGGGUGCAUCAUUAAAUGCUGUAACUUGAUUCUUAAUACACAGGUCUCCUUGUGGAUACAGUAUUAAAUGCAAUAACUUGGUACUUUGAGACAAAUAAGUAACUAAGGGGGUAUUUUAAUCUAGAGCGUCAAUUUUUAGUUCAAAGAAUUUUUAUAAAAGGUUUUGCACACAUGCUUAUUCACAUUUUAAGAACGUACACAAUUCUUUUUCAGGUAAAAAUAAUUAAAAAUUAAACGUAGCACAAGUGCACAACAAAAAUAGUACAAGAAAAUUCUAUGGCAGAUAUAUUCUUAAGGGUGUACACUUUGAGAAAAUGGGAAAUCGACAUUUUGAAAGUUUCAGACUAGAAUAGCCACAUAAAGUAACAUGCCUUUGGACUGUAUGAACUAUAAACAGUCAAGUAUCCACAACGUAGAUAGUAUAAACAGGCAAACUACUUGGACGAUAUACAUGUGCACUAUGUGAGUAAAACGAUCGAUCAGCAUACUCCUAAAGAAAAAUUAGUUUGAUAUCCUACAUAAGAAAUAGAAGCUUUCACGCUAAUCCAACUUGCAGAAUUAGCGAUAAACGAAUCAAGAACGAAGAGCCAAAACUUGUUGUGCCAAUAAAUCAACUUUCAACAUUGCGGUAUUGGUCGCUCUAAAAUACCAACAAGGAAGGAACGACCGGCUCCCCUCGACGCGAUACAUUUAUCGAGUAAAUAAACUGGCCAACGAACAAUGUCGAGCACUUUUAUCGCGAAGUUGUCGACGUCUGCGCCCACGAUUGCACGCCGCUGUGUCCUUGACUGCAUUUGCAUUUGCUCGCAAAAGGCGGACACUGUUCGAACAAUUGAAAAAUCGUGUUUGCCGCGACGAAAAACUGGUACCAGCCGUUUACAUAUGCAUACGGUCGACGUUCGAAGAAUUCACGACCCAAGCCGAACGGAAUUUUAUGACGAGUACAGGAUAUGCCAACGUUCUAUAAACAAUUACGUGGAAAUAAUCGUGAUGUGAAUCGCGUUUUGCAAUUGAAUGUUAAUAUAAUUUGGAUUGCAAUUCUUCUUCAACAAAUAACAAUGUAAGAUUCAUCUUUUAAACCGCAUGUGUUAUCACGUGCCAAAGUAAUUUUGGUACCGUGCGCAACGGAGUCACCGUGGUCCCUUCUUUCAAAAUGUGUAUCUUCAGAAAAUGCGGGCCAAGACAGCCACAGGAGCUCGUUGUAUCCAUUAGCCAAACACCGAUGUUACAAUUACUUUACAUACUGGGUGUCUUGCUCCAUCGGAACUCGAUUUUCAAUCCUUCGGUCACCAAGUUCUGCAAUGUUUCUUAACUGUUCCAGGUCGUACGAGUGGCUCGGUAUACCGUGGCGUAUACCAUGCAUCGAACAAUUCAAGAAUGAAAUAUUUGUUCCUCUUCAACAACGCCGUUUGGGAUGCACGCGUGCCUGCGAACGCCUGACAUCGCGGCCUUUGCGCCACUUCGAUUACUAUGUCAAGUUUAGAACGAUUUAUUGUUCGCAGAUAAUUCAUUCGCUUCUUUUUUUUUCCAUGGAACGCUGAAAACACGGAACUUUGGCCAACGCGUUUCGCAAAGUAUGCAAUUACGCCGAUAGCGUGGUUACGGCACACGCAUCGAGGAACGCGAUAACCACUCUCAAGAACGGAGAUAAUCGAACGUUUUAUGUGUUCCAACCGAUAUCGACGAAACUGGUAAACACAGAGGUGCGACACUCACCGUGAACAAAUUUCAACGUUUUAUCCUAAUAAUAAACGAAUAAAAACGUUGAAAGGUAAACGUCCCGAUCCUCGACACGUUUCGCAAUCGUCGUUGCAGUGGAGUGCAACGAAAAUUGUAAUCAAUGAUUGGAUCAAAUUAAUUAAGCCUAGGUUAUAACUUUAUAUGUCUAGUUUACAACGAUUUUUCCGCGAUAGUUGCACAGAUAAACUAGAUAAGAGAUUUGCCUAUCUCCGUUGCCAGGGGUCUCGACGAUUGCCAAGCCGCGGAUGGAGUUGCCAGGCAUUCCUCGACGGCCACCCUCCAUCAUCGAACCAACAACAGUUGAUAUUAAUUUAUUAGUCGAGUGUAAGAAGACGUGCGUUUCAGACGAGAAUUUGUUGAAUCUUUGUCGUGGCAAAUGUGACAAACUCUUAAAUGAAUCGAGUGGACGACGCUCAAUUUUCUCCGCUUCGAUUCAGAGUUCGAUGAACAACAUCCCGACAAAUGCGGCCUUCGUGGAAAGCCGUAGCGCCCCGUGGUGGUCUUUUUGUAUCGUUCGGCAGAAUUACGACGUUGCACUCGGUGCAGUGCAGCCGGCGACAUCCUGCGCCGGAUUCGAAUUCGCGGACUGCACCCGCUUGUACAGGCUGAACCAAAAUACACGUGCCAAAUGUUUCUCGUAAAUGUAAAACUUCCACGCUUACGACCCAUGCUACAUGAUCGACAGCCGUAACUAACCGAGAAAUGCCUUCUCUUUCGAAAGAUACAGUGAAAUACACGUAACAGUCGCUCGAAAUUUGUACAGCGGCCUAUAAGAGCUCCGUAUACACUGUAAUCUUACACCACCCAAGUGAAAAAUACCGCCUGGCCGCGAAACGUGCCGACAAUUGGUACAUUUACCUUAUAUCGUUUAAUUUGGGACGUUGUGUACGCCACUCGUAAACAAAUCGGGCCAUGCAACUCGGUCGAGCAACGAUUACGCUUCUCGUGUGCAACGAGCCACGAAAUCGGGGGCCUGGGUAGACAUAAACAGAAUUCGCGAACGGUGACUCGACGGCGGACGGCUUAUUUUCGAUAAUGACGAAAAUAUCGUUCCCGAUACCGAGGAACGCGCGCUUAUCCUCCUCUGCUCCACGGGUUUUCCUUGUACCCGUAACUUUUCGCGUUGCAUUUCGAAAAACACGCAUACGGAACGCGCGUCCCCCUCGGGCGACGUUUCUUUUAAUAGAGGCCGUCCUCCAAAACAUAUUUACGAAAGUUUGUUUCUAUGUUUAGCAGGGAACGGUGUACAUAAUUUACUUCGAAUCCGUUUCACGCGACGAGCGAUACUUCAUUUUUCAACGGCGAUACGGUAAAUCCGUUUUCAUCCCACGCUGCCUGGCAAAAUCCCAGCUAUUGCCACAUUCGUGUGUUAACCUUUAUCGGAAGGAAGUCCCUCCUUCAGAUAGUAUUUUCGACCGAGGUUGGGGCUACCUGUUGGUGACGAUCGUUGCGUAACGUUGUUGAUCUUAGCCCUUCCGUGAAAAUCAGACAUAUUUUACGGAUUAUUCUCCCGAUAGGAAUUAUCUGGAAUUAUCUUUCAACAAGGCGGGAAAAUCAUCGAGAUUGGGAAAGGAAGCUACCAUCUAUUUAUAAUAAAUCAAGUGUUGUUAAUGGAGUCGAAUACUUGCGAAGGCAAGAAUGUUACAAUUGACGAUACCCGAAAGUAUAAAUCGCAUACGAAUUUUUGAGCCACUCGCAUGGAUUAGUUCACGCGGCGUCUGCUAGUGUCGCAAGUAACAAAUUAUUCCAAAAUGGAAACGCCAUUAAUCUACAUUAAUCCUGAUUAAUUCUUCCAGGUCCUUCAUCGUGUACACAUGUAACAGCUUCUUCCUAAUAUAUCCCAAUUAUUUUAAUGCACGGAGAUAUGAUCUGUAGGACUAUUCGAAGGUAUUGGCUGAUUUUUAAUUUGAUGUGUUCGAUAGUAUCUUUAAAACUUUGAACUAAGCAAAUCCCUCAACGACAACGGUCAUUAAGCCAUCGACUCGGGGUACCUACGUAUUAGCUUGCAGCUGGUGAAUUAUCGGUGAUUCGUCCCUCGAGAAUGAGACCAGUAAUUGGUCUCGUUAAAAGUGCAUUCUCGAGUGAAAUUUCCAGACGGUCCACUUCUGUCAGUGAUUCAAAAUCGAAAUAUUCCUCUGCUGAGAAGGCUGAUACUACAGACGAAAACUCGAUCGACAUUUGAAGUUUGCCUUACGGCAACAAUAUACAUCUGUAUUUAUAUGCAGAGUUUUGAAUGCGUCUAUAAUAUGCUGUAUUAUGCUGCAUCAUGAUAUAAUAUGAAUAUACACUAAACUUGUUCCAAGAUAAUAGCAUACGAAUGCAUAAUAAGCUUGUCCUGCGACAAUAUUGUCCUCUUGAGGGACGAAUUCUUAAUUUUUAAGUUUUGAUUGCUUACAACAAGAACUUUGUAUAGUUUAUUUUAUUCAAAGUAUAACAACAAUGCAGACUGUAUAUAGAGUAAGCUCUCUUGCUAUGAUAUUGUAUACUUUGUAAUUCUGCACUAAAAGGUAUUAUGAUAUUAAUCUAUCACAAUAUCCUUCCAGACGUUAUACUCGUAUAUAGAAUAAGCUUGUUCGUACACCGAAACGAGUUUCAAUAAUAGAUCGAACAAUCUACGUCGAUAGGGAAGUUAAACGACGCUCGUGUAAUGUGGACGUUCGCUUAUUUAUCUUUUGAAUCAUUCGUGCGCGUCCUUGGUACUCGUUAACUGCGACGAAUAAUUAGCCACCGGGAGCUCUUCCAGCGAAACAGAAAAGAAUGCUAAUGACGAGCGCGCGUUAUCUACGCGACGCUAUAAUCGGCUAACGACACGCAGAAUUUAUGCCGAGUCCUUCCACGGGCCGAUAAUAAGCGAACGAAAUACACAUAUCGCGUAACAAACGCGCCCACGUUGCACCGACCGUUGCGUUCGGUGCAGCGGAAUCGCGGAAACCUCCUCGCCCGAGAUACGGGCAGCUGUUCGUCGGAGAUUACGAGAACGAGAACGAAAACGCGAUUUCUGUUAUUUACAGGCUGGCCCAGAAUAGGUGGCACGACUAAGGAAGGGUGACUUUGUUUAAGACACUAUUAUUUAACCCUCCGUCGCAGCGAUUCUUAUCACUUCAACCGUCUGUUGAUUAUUAAUCACGAUUAAUUGUAUACUUUGUUUCAGGUCUGGUAAAAUUGCGCCACAAGAUCUCUGUUAUUUACAGACUGACCCAGAAUAUGUAGACAUCGCAGCUGUAGCGUUAUAACGAAGGGUGACUUUGUCCCAGACACUAUUAUUUAACCCUUCAAUCGUGUGAUGAUUAUUGAACACGACCAACUAAUUGCAUACGUUGUUUCAGAGCCUGGAGAGAUCGCUCCACGACCCGUCAGGAAUUUCACACGCAGCUCGUCGAAGAAGAAGCGUCUCUCCCCCGUGAAUCUCGCAGCCCCGCUGGGGCUCCGUCCGUUGGAUUCCUUUUUCCCCCGCAGCUUCACGAGCGGGCCGAGCGACAGACGCACGUGGCGCGUCGUAGAUCGGUAUUUUUAUCGAUCGACACCGAGAUCGCUCCCUCCGACGAAAAAUUUAUUUUCGCGGUGACCAACGCGGCCCAGGAAGCCCGUAGCCGUUGACGACAACGUCGUCGUCGACGUUUGCCUUCGUCUUCGUCGUUGUCUUCGCGAGAGCGGGGCUCGACCCGGCUCGCGCGUUUCGCAAAGGCACCUUCUAGAAAUAGAACGCCCAAAUAAUUUGCCUCGGAUUACCAGCGACGCGUCGCUGACUAUCUCUCUCUCUCUCUUUCUCUCCGUCGCUCUGACUCUUCAUCUUUCUCCUUUUCGCGCUUUUUACUCGCGUCUCAAUUCAAUUUUCAAUUCUCUUCACAACGUUUAAAGCAACGAUGACGUUCAAUUGUUCGAGUAGAAAUUAUUGUGAGAGCAAAUGAAACUCAACGUUUAGCCAUAUAUUUUGCAAUUUUAUUGAAAUCCUUUGAACGAUGAAAUAGA